rnacentral:rRNA from 1 species
GGAGGAAGGUGGGGAUGACGUCAAGUCAUCAUGGCCCUUACGGCCAGGGCCACACACGUGCUACAAUGGCGCGUACAGAGGGCUGCAAGCUAGCGAUAGUGAGCGAAUCCCAAAAAGCGCGUCGUAGUCCGGAUCGGAGUCUGCAACUCGACUCCGUGAAGUCGGAAUCGCUAGUAAUCGCAAAUCAGAAUGUUGCGGUGAAUACGUUCCCGGGCCUUGUACAUACCGCCCGUCACACCAUGGAAGUUUGUUGCACCAGAAGUAGGUAGUCUAACCGCAAGGAGGANGCUUACACGGUGUGGCCGAUGACUGGG